CCCCGGUAACCCAGCCUGGCGCCUCGGCCUAGGGGAGGGACGCCUGUUCCCCAGGACCGAGGCCUGUGCCGUCCCCACCCGCCCCAACAUGGUGCUCAUCCUUGCCGAGACCCCUGCGGUCCGUGCCCGCGCCCAGCCCAGCUGCCCCGGCUGCACGCCUGCUGCUCCAAGCUCGCCCGGCUGCCACGAGCUCUCUGCGGGUCCAUCCUCCCCACCGGGGUCCGUCCUCGCAGGCCCUGCCCGGCCUCUCUGCAGACACUCAAGCGUCGUCUGCAUGAGUGAGCAGGUGUGGGUAGACUCUGGCCGCGGCCACACUUGGUGCUCACCAGCUGCUUCGGCCUUCAGGUGACCUCCUUCCCCACGGCGUCCUGUUCUCCGGGUGGAAGAGCAGCUUUCUGUCUCCCAGAAGGCAUCGCUUUUCCCUCUUGAGCAGAUCGGAGCCCCUGGGAGGUUUGGAAGCUGCCUCCAAGCCUAGGACACGGACCGGUGGCCGGGGCGGCCUCUGGACCCUGACGCUGGCUGAGACAGGCCCGUGGGGCAGGGUUUUGGGGCGUGAAAG
rnacentral:lncRNA from 1 species